AGUGAACGCUGGCGGCAGGCCUAACACAUGCAAGUCGAACGAACCUAUCGGGGUUAGUGGCGGACGGGUGAGUAACACGUGGGAACGUGCCUUUAGGUUCGGAAUAACUCAGGGAAACUUGUGCUAAUACCGAAUGUGCCCUUCGGGGGAAAGAUUUAUCGCCUUUAGAGCGGCCCGCGUCUGAUUAGCUAGUUGGUUGAGGUAAUGGCUCACCAAGGCGACGAUCAGUAGCUGGUCUGAGAGGAUGAUCAGCCACAUUGGGACUGAGACACGGCCCAAACUCCUACGGGAGGCAGCAGUGGGGAAUCUUGCGAAAUGGGCGAAAGCCUGACGCAGCCAUGCCGCGUGAAUGAUGAAGGUCUUAGGAUUGUAAAAUUCUUUCACCGGGGACGAUAAUGACGGUACCCGGAGAAGAAGCCCCGGCUAACUUCGUG
rnacentral:rRNA from 1 species